AUUGAACGCUGGCGGCAGGCCUAACACAUGCAAGUCGAGCGGAUGACGGGAGCUUGCUCCUUGAUUCAGCGGCGGACGGGUGAGUAAUGCCUAGGAAUCUGCCUGGUAGUGGGGGACAACGUUUCGAAAGGAACGCUAAUACCGCAUACGUCCUACGGGAGAAAGCAGGGGACCUUCGGGCCUUGCGCUAUCAGAUGAGCCUAGGUCGGAUUAGCUAGUUGGUGGGGUAACGGCUCACCAAGGCGACGAUCCGUAACUGGUCUGAGAGGAUGAUCAGUCACACUGGAACUGAGACACGGUCCAGACUCCUACGGGAGGCAGCAGUGGGGAAUAUUGGACAAUGGGCGAAAGCCUGAUCCAGCCAUGCCGCGUGUGUGAAGAAGGUCUUCGGAUUGUAAAGCACUUUAAGUUGGGAGGAAGGGCAGUAAGUUAAUACCUUGCUGUUUUGACGUUACCGACAGAAUAAGCACCGGCUAACUCUGUGCCAGCAGCCGCGGUAACAC
rnacentral:rRNA from 1 species